GCCUUGCUGGCCAAGUGGUAAGGCGUCUGUCUUGUAAUGCAGGUGCGGUGCGCCUGGGUUGCCAGCCAACAGAAGAUCUCCGGUUCGAAUCCGGAGCAGGGCA